rnacentral:lncRNA from 1 species
CCCUUUUCUGACUUUUUACCGUGUCCUUGUGUUAUUAUUGUUGUCUCUGCGAAGACUAAAUAGUAUCAGAACCCAGGAAACUCUCUUGCUUUCUAAUUCAUUGAGGUUUGUCUUUGCCCUAGCUCUUUUUGGUGAUGUCUUAGUGUAUUCUUGUGCUGCUGGCUUCCCCUCAUUAUGUUUCUCAGUCAGCAUGCUUCACAAUGGAUCCAGAAACCUUCUCAAGCCAAGCCUACUCAGUUCUUCUCACGGAAAGCACACAUACUCAUCUGCCCAGACUCCAGCCCAGUGUGCAGAGGAAAGGAUCAGGCAGCCUGAUUUUCUGCUGCUUAUUUGGACCUGUGGAUGCUUUUCUGAGGGAAGCUAAGAAACAAUCUUCAAAUUACUGUCAAAAAUCCAGAACCCAGACCAAAGGAUUCUGUGCCAGGUCCAACCACAUGGGAAAAGAAGAAGGAAAGGACAUCAAAAGCAGCUGUACUUCAUUCUCUUUUCAAGAAUAACAAGUUCUCUGUGUGUACACAGGAUUUAUUUUCACACCAAGGAAAAAAAGCUGCUUUACAAGGCUGGAAUCACAGUUUGAUUACCAGUAUAAUUCCUUCUUCCCUAAGCUGAUCUCACAGAAACUCUAUCAGCUCUUGUGCUGUUCUUCAUAUCUGUGUCAAGGCAGUGAAAAUCACAUGUAAUGAAUGUAAUGUAAUGCUCUGCACAGCCAUACCUUGUGGGUUGUUUCAACUGGAGCAAUUGAAGUAUAGGAGCAACUCCCAGCAUGACUGCAAUGAACUGAUCUGAUACUAUUUUCAUUUUCCCAUUUGACCUAUACUGAACCCAAUUCUCUUCUGCUUUGUGUUCGUGUUGUGGAUGCAUUCUAUCUGGAAAGGUGAGAUAUACAUACAAGGCUGUAGGCAAGUAUGAUAUAUGUUCCUCUAUAUUGGCACAAGGAGCUCUUUCUAUUUACGUGUCAGUAAGUAACAAGCAUAUUAACUUACCCAUGACAAGGCUGUCUUUCUACUCAUUUGUUUGUAAUCUAAAAUGUAUAUUAGAAGUUUGAGGACACAGUCAGCAUUUACUGAUCUAACCAGACUUUAUACGCAUCCUUUAUAAGGAUGAGUGCUUUAGAUUAAGUUCCCUAAUUGAAACCGCAUGGUUGUUUGGACAGAGAAAAUGAUAUUUCUGCAGCUGGUGCCUGGCAAACUUUGUUCUGAUGUAUUUUGCAGUCUCAGAACAGAGGAUGGGAAAAGAAACAGAAUGGAACUCAGGCAAGCGUAGAUAGCCUUUGCUUAAAGAUUUAUUUCUUAACUUCAACUCUUUGUUGUUUGAAAAAAUACCAGCAAACAACAAGCUAGCUAAACAUUAAGUGUUAAUUCCAAAUGGUCUUACAGUAGACAUAGUGUUUUCACAAAACUGAAUUUUGAUAUAUGCUCAUCCAGUACACAAAAGAAACUUCUGAAAAAAAUAGCUCAGCCCAUUAUGUACCCCUCAAGCUCUGUGGUGAGGCCAGAAAACACUCAAGUAGACAUAUUGUACAACAGUCCCGUACUUCCUGUUUUACAAUAUUUGCAAAGAUAUGUGUAUGUGUUUUUUUUUUUUUUAAUAUUUUUUGCCUGUAUUUGGAGUGCUGCCGACUGCUAACCAUGUGAGGAGUCACAUCCAACUGUUCUCUUACCUAGCUGCUGAAUGUGUAUUGCUCAGAGCACAGCACAUUUGUGCUACCUCCACAGCACAGUGUUAAAAUACCUAAAAAUAAAUCAUCAGGCACAAAGAUAUACUCUUGUCCC